AGCUCUAUCACAUUUUGGAGACUUUGCAUAUAUCCAUGUUGAUCAUGUUCCCAUGUUUACUCCGCAUAUUCACCAUAUCUAUUAUGAUGCUUUGCUUAACGCUAAUGGUGAUGUGCAAAAGAGAUGGACCAUCAUGAUGGAUGAUGUGUUCAUAUACCAUGCACACACGUUGUUCUUGUUGUCUAACAUGUGUGUAGGUACCCAAACUCCAAUGUCAACCUCGAUUGAGCACGAGUUGACAAAAAGAGCUCUUGAGAGCAUGAUACAAGUGAGCUCCAAUGAGUGGUUUUGCCCGCACACUUCAACUACACAAGAUCUCUCAAUGAGAGCACACCGACACUUUGAUAAGGGCUCUUGACAAGUGAAGGGACAUUCAAGCGUUGGUGUCAUCUACCUCCUCUACACAUUCAUGAAGACUCAUCGUCGAGGACGACUCUUUUUCAAGUGGGGGGAGAUGAUGUAGCCCGACCUACGGUCUUCGCUUCAUCAUGUGCUUCAACGACAAGAACCACACUCAAGGCCGAGGUCACGGAGGCAUGGAAGAGAAGAAGGAAGAAGAGUGCCCGAGGUCGCCAAGAAGAGACGGCGCAUGAAGCACGACUGCUCGGAAUAUCCGCCCCACUAAGGCCGGACAAUCCGCCCCCUAUGUGUCCAAGUCAAUUCGGGCCAAGUCCCAUGUACCCCCCUUGUAUGCCUAAACUACCCCUCCUUAGUGGCUCCCUAUAUAUAGGCUCCCACCUCCCCCUUCAUUAGGGAAGAGUUGAACUUGAGAGAACCUAGGCUCAUGCCUCCACCAUCCCUUUGGGAUUAGGGAAACCCCCUCCUUAGAUUAUCCAAAUCUAUUGUACAAGGCACUCCUUAUAUGAUUAGUCUCUCACACUUGUGAUUCAA